rnacentral:rRNA from 1 species
GACGAACGCUGGCGGCGUGCCUAAUACAUGCAAGUUGAGCGCUGAAGGUUGGUACUUGUACCAACUGGAUGAGCAGCGAACGGGUGAGUAACGCGUGGGGAAUCUGCCUUUGAGCGGGGGACAACAUUUGGAAACGAAUGCUAAUACCGCAUAAAAACUUUAAACACAAGUUUUAAGUUUGAAAGAUGCAAUUGCAUCACUCAAAGAUGAUCCCGCGUUGUAUUAGCUAGUUGGUGAGGUAAAGGCUCACCAAGGCGAUGAUACAUAGCCGACCUGAGAGGGUGGUCGGCCACAUUGGGACUGAGACACGGCCCAAACUACUACGGGAGGAAGCAGUAGGGAAUAUUCGGCAAUGGACGAAAGUCUGACCGAGCAACGCCGCGUGAGUGAAGAAGGUUUUCGGAUCGUAAAAAUCUGUUGGUAGAGAAGAACGUUGGUGAGAGUGGAAAGCUCAUCAAGUGACGGUAACUACACAGAAAGGGACGGCUAACUACGUG